GACGGAGGGGGCAAGCGUUGUCCGGACUCACUGGGCGUAAAGGGUGCGCAGGCGGCAGAGCGCGUCCGCGCUGAAAUCUGUUGGCUUAACUGACAGGCGCGUGCGGAUACGGCUCAGCUCGAGGCACGGAGAGGGUGGGGGAACUCCUGGUGUAGUGGUGAAAUGCGUAGAGAUCAGGAAGAACACCCGUGGCGCAAGCGCCCACCUGGCCGUGACCUGACGCUGCGGCACGAAAGCGUGGGGAGCGAAC
rnacentral:rRNA from 1 species